GGAUAACCUGCCCUUGGGUCCGGCAUAACCCCGGGAAACUGGGGAUAAUUCCGGAUAACGCACAUAUGCUGGAAUGCUUUAUGCGUCAAAUGGAUUCGUCUGCCCAAGGAUGGGUCUGCGGCCUAUCAGGUAGUAGUGGGUGUAAUGUACCUACUAGCCGACGACGGGUACGGGUUGUGAGAGCAAGAGCCCGGAGAUGGAUUCUGAGACAUGAAUCCAGGCCCUACGGGGCGCAGCAGGCGCGAAAACUUUACAAUGCGGGAAACCGUGAUAAGGGGACACCGAGUGCCAGCGUCAUACGCUGGCUGUCCAGGUGUGUAAAAUACACCUGUUAGCAAGGGCCGGGCAAGACCGGUGCCAGCCGCCGCGGUAACACCGGCGGCCCGAGUGGUGAUCGUGAUUAUUGGGUCUAAAGGGUCCGUAGCCGGUUUGGUCAGUCCUCCGGGAAAUCUGAUAGCUCAACUGUUAGGCUUUCGGGGGAUACUGCCAGACUUGGAACCGGGAGAGGUAAGAGGUACUACAGGGGUAGGAGUGAAAUCUUGUAAUCCCUGUGGGACCACCUGCGGCGAAGGCGUCUUACCAGAACGGGUUCGACGGUGAGGGACGAAAGCUGGGGGCACGAACCGGAUUAGAUACCCGGGUAGUCCCANCCGUAAACGAUGCUCGCUAGGUGUCANGCAUGGCGCGACCGUGUCUGGUGCCGCAGGGAANCCGUGAANCGAGCCACCUGGGNAGUACCGGCGCAAGGCUGAAACUUAA
rnacentral:rRNA from 1 species